rnacentral:rRNA from 1 species
CGCGCUACACUGACACACGCAACGAGUCUUCCUUGUCCGAAAGGUCCGGGUAAUCUUGUAAAUGUGUGUCGUGAUUGGGAUAGAUUAUUGCAAUUAUUAAUCUUGAACGAGGAAUUCCUAGUAAAUGCGAGUCAUCAGCUCGCGUUGAUUACGUCCCUGCCCUUUGUACACACCGCCCGUCGCACCUACCGAUUGAAUGAUUCGGUGAAACUCUCAGACUGACGCGGAGACACCCUCGGGUGAUUCUGCAUUAGGAAGUUAUUUAAACCUAAUCAUUUAGAGGAAGGUGAAGUCGUAACAAGGUUUCCGUAGGUGAACCUGCGGAAGGAUC